GACGAACGCUGGCGGCGUGCUUAACACAUGCAAGUCGAACGGAAAGGCCCUGCUUUCGUGGGGUGCUCGAGUGGCGAACGGGUGAGUAACACGUGAGUAACCUGCCCUUGACUUUGGGAUAACUUCAGGAAACUGGGGCUAAUACCGGAUAGGAGCUCCUGCUGCAUGGUGGGGGUUGGAAAGUUUCGGCGGUUGGGGAUGGACUCGCGGCUUAUCAGCUUGUUGGUGGGGUAGUGGCUUACCAAGGCUUUGACGGGUAGCCGGCCUGAGAGGGUGACCGGCCACAUUGGCACUGCGAUACUGCCCAGACUCCUACGGGAGGCAGCAGUGGGGAAUAUUGCACAAUGGGCGGAAGCCUGAUGCAGCAGCGCCGCGUGCGGGAUGGCGGCCUUCGGGUUGUAAACCGCUUUCGCCUGUGACGAAGCGUGAGUGACGGUAAUGGGUAAAGAAGCACCGGCUAACUACGUG
rnacentral:rRNA from 1 species